AUUGAACGCUGGCGGCAGGCCUAACACAUGCAAGUCGAGCGAGCGGCGGACGGGUGAGAAAUGUCUGGGAAACCGUCGGAUGGAGGGGGAUAAACAUUGGAAACGGUAGCUAAAAACGCACAUCACCAGCUGUGCUCAGAUGGGAUUAGCUAGUAGGUGGGGUAACGGCGUACCUAGGUGACGAACCCAAGCUGGUCUGAGAGGAUGACCAGCCACACUGGGACUGAGACACGGUCCAGACUCCUACGGGAGGCAGCAGUGGGGAAUAUUGCGCAAUGGGCGAAAGCCUGAUGCAGCAAUGCCGCGUGUGUGAAGAAGGCCUUCGGAUUGUAAAGCACUUUCAUCGGGGAGGCGUUACCCGCAGAGGAAGCACCGGCUAACUCCGUGCCAGCAGCCGCGGUAAUUC
rnacentral:rRNA from 1 species